GACGAACCGUGCGAACGUUGUUCGGAUUUACUGGGCGUAAAGAGCGCGCAGGCGGUCGUUCAAGUCGAGUGUGAAAGCCCCCGGCUCAACUGGGGAGGGUCAUUCGAUACUGAUCGACUCGAAGGCAGGAGAGGGAAGCGGAAUUCCCGGUGUAGCGGUGAAAUGCGCAGAUAUCAGGAGGAACACCUAUAGCGAAGGCAGCUUGCUGGGACGUUACUGACGCUAAGGCGCGAAAGCGUGGGGAGCGAACAGG
rnacentral:rRNA from 1 species